AUAGAUUUGAAAUAUCGCGUGACAUCACUUCUAGUUUUAUACGUAGAAAUGACGUAUUUGCUCCCUCUCCUAAACUUUGAUUCGUUUUAUCUAAGUAUUGUUAUAUUAUAUGACAAAAUAUAAAAAAUACGUGUCUAAUAUUUUCAUUACCUAACUGACGGACUAAAUAGAUUUUAAUUUUCAUACCCCGUCAUCAUCCCUAUUGUAAAUAUAUUUUUUUGAAUUAUAAUUAUUAAUGUUUGUUAUUUACUUAUGUAUUAGUAAAUGUUCUUAUGUACAUGUAUAUGACUAUUGUAUAUAGUUAUACAUAGUUUUUGCAAAAUUUAAGAGAAAUAUGAGAUUUACUAGGGCGUCUGAAAAUUUAGAACCAAAAGUUUUUUAAAUUAAUCUAGUUAAAAAUACUAAAAACUUGCUUUUAAUCAGAAGAAAUGGGCAUAUAGGGUGACUGGUAAUUAGUGAACGAUAUUUAAACACGUGAUUGUACUCAUGAUUACAAACAACUUUCCUAAAGAAACUUUGUUUGUAUACUCAUUAGUUUUAUUUUUAUCACAAUAACAAAACAACAGAAUUGAGCGCGUGCGUGCUUUCGCAUGAUCAGCUGUUAGCAGCGAGGCGCCCGCGUUAUAGGAAGACUAGUAACUAGGUAGGUAUUUUGGAACUUUACCUGCUAACAGCUGAUCAUGCGAAAGCAGACUUUGGCUCUUUUUUCAGGCAUCCUAGUAAAAUAUAUCGCUCACCUAGUAAUAUAUUGGCACAUCUGCAAAAAAUGCGAAAUUGAUUUUAUAUGGUUUACGUGUUUAAAAGUGCAUAUUAAUCUAUUUAUUUCCAUAUUCAUCGAGAGAGGUCGUAAGUGUCAUUAUACCAUUAUUGUAGUUCCCCCUCACGCACGUAAAACAACGGUUCAUUGGUCAGUAAACUAAAAACUAAACAAGUCAGGUAAACUAUGAAAAACGUAAAUGUGCCAAUAUAUUACUAGGUGUGUAAUAUGUACCUCUGUGUAUCUUAUCGGCAAUAAGAUGCGUGAUGAUAUGUUUAUAAGUGAAGUAAAAGAAUUUUUAACUAUAACUAGUGAUUUUAAGAUCUUUAAAUAUUUAAUUUUUAAUGUUUAUACAAGGUUAGUUAAAACGCAGGAUUUAUUCUAAGAUUAUUUGGACACCACUGACAAACGGCGAAGGAAAACAUCGUGAGGAAACCUGGGCUUAUAAUUUCUGAUUAUAAGUUUGAAAUCACCAACCCACAUUGAGCAAGCGUGGUGAUUAAUGCUCAAACUUUCUCCGUGUGAGAAGAGGCCUUUGGUCAGCAGUGGCCACUUAUAGGCUGUUGAUGUGAUAAUAUACCAAAUUGCACAUAAUUAUUUAAAAAAUAUACUAAAUUUUCACGCGUUAAAGCUAUGUUUCGGCACUGCUGUGUCGGCUAGACCGGAGUGAUACCACGGCCUCACAUAACCUAUAGAUUUUUUCCAAUAUUUCUAGCGUUUUAACUAACCUUGUUGAAUUUAUAAAUAAUUCCAAUAUUAUAUAAGCUUCCCAACACGGCUUAGAUAUAGUCUUUAUACACCAAAGCUUAUUAAAUUAAAUGAUUAUAUCGAUCUAUUUCAACCAUAUGUAUGAAUGUGAUGGAAGCUAAAGAAGUAUGUAAGGAGCGUAGUAGGUGGCGCUCUGUAGUUUCUGUAUACCAUCAGAUGUAUGAAUGUGAUGGAAGCUAAAGAAGUAUGUAAGGAGCGUAGUAGGUGGCGCUCUGUAGUUUCUGUAUACCAUGGAAUAAAGAGGGGUUUUUAAGAAUGUGUGUUUCAAUUAGAGAAAUGAGGUGCUAUUUGGUAUUUAAAGUUAAAAUUUUAAAUUGUUGCUUAAAGCUUGUUAUGAAAAGAUUUUCAGAAUUUUAAGUAGUUUUGUUGCACAGAGUGUGGAAUUGUGUAGAAAUACAUUGUAUAGCUGCACCUCUGCCUACCCCUUAGACUAUCAGACACCUUAAUUAGGAAUUGUGUAUAAAGUAGUUAGAAAAAUUCAAAAUGUUCCUAUCAUAAGAAAAAAAAAUGAUUAUUUUUAAGUAAUUUUAUUCAUAAAGAUUGAAUUAAUUAAAACAUAGUUUAUAAAUAAAAAUAUUGAUUGUAUUCUUACAUAAAUAACAUUUGUCAUUAAAUAGAAUUAACAGCGUUGCACUAUGUCGCUCAUUGUCAUGUUUAUAAGCCCCGAUCUUAGCUUGAAAUUAGUUGAGCUCCCUCGAACAUAUUCGAUACGACCUUCAAACCUUCAAGAGAAGCAUAUUCUUUUUAAAAGGCCGGCAACGCACCUGUGACUCCUCUGGUGUUGUUGGGUGUCCGUGGCCGGCGCUGAUCUGUCAAAAAAAUGUCUAUCUGUCGGUCAGUCCUCUAGUUGCUCUAUUUGCUCGUUCCAAAGUGUAGAUUCCUAUGGAGAAGAACGAGCAAGAAACUCCAUAGGUUACUCUUUUUCAAUCAGGUUCACAAUACAAUUGUUGUUAAGAUAUUUGUCAGUGAAAAAAUAGUGAUUUCAUCUCGAACUCUUAACAGUCGAUCUCUUAGUUUUAUGAAUUUAUAUCUGAAGGCGUUUCUAUGCAGAAAUAGUUGUAAUUAUUGCACUUACUACCAUAUUCAGAGACAUUUAAUGGCUACUUAUACUAUUCCUUUAGCCAUCAGACCACCACAGAUAGGGCCCAGUAGGGCUGAUGCCUGAUCCGGAGCUGCGGACUACCUAGCGGGUUAUCGGGGCUCCGGCUCGAAAAGCAGAAGUAGGAACGGGGUGGUUUUUAGUCAGUAAGUCUGACUCUCCCUCUCGCCUCAUUCAAGGCGGUAGAAGACAUUGGAUGAUGUUCCCCCCUUAAAAAAACUAUUGUUUAGUAACGAUUUUGAUCCGAAAACAAUUGCUAAUGGCUGGGUUAAGUAACCAUUAAAUGACUCUGAGUAGAGCGGUUAGAAUAUAAGUAAUGAAAUAUAUUUUUUAAAUAAUGUAAGGGUGGUUUCUUCGAACAAAAUGACAUGUCAUUUUUUUUGUUUUUAAAUCUAAGUUGAUUAGUAAAUUCAAAUUAAUAUAUUCUUAAUGGAUUACUUGAGAACAUAUUAAACUAAAUUGGUUAAUUGACUAGCUUCUGCCAGUGGCUUUAUCCGCCUGCCCGUGGGAUAAAAAGUAACCUAUAUGUUAUUCCAGACCAUAAUCUACCCCUGUUCCAAAUUUCAUACCGAUCCCUUCAGCAGUUUUGACGUGAUUGAGUAAUAAACAUACACACAAACUUAAGCAUUUAUAAUAUUAGUUAAAAUUAACUUUACAUUAAAGAUGUGCAAUUUUUUUCGAAGAAACAACCAAUAAAGGAUUUGAACCACUUUUCCAUUUUGCAAAUUAGCUACAUAGCACAUCUCUGGUGGGAAAGCACCUUUAAGGUAAGCGUCCACAGGCCCGCAUCGUACGCAUCGCACGCAACGGAUUUUAGUUUGUCUCGUAUAGAAACUCAUACAACUGCGUCCACUGAUCCGCAUCGUACGGACCGCUCAUCGGCAAUGCCUACAUGCGAUGCGUGCCGAUGACGUCAUACGGAAUGCCGAUGCCAAAAAUCCGAGUGAAAGUGGCAUCGGCAAUCCGAUUGUUAAUACUCGCGUCGGCAAUCCGAUCGCUGCCGAUACAGUGGACGCAGUCUGAAAAAUUAAUCCGUUUGAUGCGAUCCGUCCGAUGCGUACGAUGCGGGCCUGUGGACGCUUACCUUGAGCCGUGUGUCGACCCGUACGUAACACAGUCACGCCAUCUAUCGCUAGUGUAGUGAACAAGUUUAAGACUGUCGUCAUUUCUUCGUAUUGUUAUGAAAUUGUAAAUAAAUAUUGCUUUUUGUAUA